GCCUACUUAUCCCGUUACAGCUCCUGGUGAGAAGGGCGAAGCCAUGUCAGAAAUAAUAGAAAAGGCUUUUUCCUUUGAAAUAUCUAAACGUUCAAAGAUGGGAACAGCCGCAGGGGGGAGAAUACUGUGCUAUGCAAGUUGAUCUGAUUUUGUGGACCAUCCAUUUCCAAUUGGGAAGCUCACUUACUUUCAACUUGAAGCAUCAGAAAACCAGACUUACAGCAGCUUCAGCCUAUAGGGGUUUAUUUUUCUCAUGUAACAAGAAGAACAGAAGUGGACAGAGGCCGAGUUCUCAAGGACUCAGUUUCUUUCUGUCCCACCAACCUUACCAUGUUGGAUUGUCAUCUUUGUGCUUGUUGCCUCAUGAUGGCAAGAUGGCUGCAGCACCUCUGGGACUCACGACUGAUUUUUAAGACUACAGAGCCUAAGUCAAAGCUUGUUCUUGGACCCAGGAAAUAUGUCAAAUCCUUCCAGUGAAUGGUGCCUUUCAGGAUUGGAGACUACUCCCCCAGUUGCUGAUGGUGUGGUCAGCCCUCAGUUUUCAGUCCUCUUUGGGAAUUGCCUUGGAUGAAGAAAGUCACCUCACCCAAGAUCACUCCAACUCCUGGGACCCACAUCCAAUGAUUGGCCAAUAUGGGGACUCAAAGGCCUGGUCCCCCUUCCCCAACUUGAGACUACUCUGAAGGAUCACCCAGCUUCAGAGCUUCCCAUGGUUGAGACUUUUAGACUUCACUGUGGUCCAACCAAUCUCUUCCUAUACACGGUCCUGACUCCUUCACUUCCCUCCCAGCACUUCUUCUGUGUUAAUAUCAAACUUCUGUGCUAAUAACAAACUUCUUCCGUGCUAAUAUCUCUCAGUGUCUCCUUC
rnacentral:lncRNA from 1 species